AUUGAACGCUGGCGGCAUGCCUUACACAUGCAAGUCGAACGGCAGCACGGGUGCUUGCACCUGGUGGCGAGUGGCGAACGGGUGAGUAAUACAUCGGAACGUACCUUAUCGUGGGGGAUAACGCAGCGAAAGCUGUGCUAAUACCGCAUACGCCCUGAGGGGGAAAGCGGGGGAUCGAAAGACCUCGCGCGAUUAGAGCGGCCGAUGCCUGAUUAGCUUGUUGGGGGGGUAAAAGCCCACCAAGGCGACGAUCAGUAGCUGGUCUGAGAGGACGAUCAGCCAAACGGGGACGAAGACACGGCCCAGACUCCUACGGGAGGCAGCAGUGGGGAAUUUUGGACAAUGGGGGCAACCCUGAUCCAGCAAUGCCGCGUGAGUGAAGAAGGCCUUCGGGUUGUAAAGCUCUUUUGUCAGGGAAGAAACACCGGCUCUAACACAGUCCGGGAAUGACGGUACCUGAAGAAUAAGCACCGGCUAACUACGUGCCAGCAGCCGCCGUAA
rnacentral:rRNA from 1 species